UCUGUGACGUAAAUGAUAUCUUUUUCCGUCAAACUCAUUUCUUAACAUGAAAUUAGACUGCAAUGCUAAAUAUUUCAAGAAAUUUGAAAUUAUCAAUAGCCUUAAUUGUAACCGGGUGUGUAAUUCAUUUCAUUGGAUUUGUAUCACCUUACUGGAAUAUAAUACCAGAUACAGAAGCACUUGAAAGUACGGAAAGCGCCAUAAGACUUGGUCUGUGGACAGUAUGUAUUCGACAAGGAAAGAAAGUCAAUUGUGUACAGUACAAUCAUAGUCUUAGUCAGUCUAAGGCAGCUAAAGGCUUGGAAACAUUAUCUGUGAUAUUUUAUUUGUUAUCCCUGUUGUCAUUUUGGCUUUACCUACGUCACCCUGUUUAUGGAGGAGACAUACUUUUAGUAUGCAUGAUCUUUAUCAUUUUGAUCGUUGAAACAACUGCAGUUGGAGCUCUUUGUUGGGUAACUAUGUCUGAUAUUCAGAAGAGAUAUGUAUUAUCAUGGGCGUUUGGAUUAACGGUUGGUUCCGUGAUAUUUCCCGUUAUUGCUGGCUGGUUUGUUUCACAAGAAAGAAGUUCUUUUAUUCAACAACAUAGACGUUCCAGUUUAGAACAACCAGAAAAGAAGGAAAUUUUACUUCAUUAAAUUUUGUGAUAAAUAUGUUAUUUCUCCUGAUGGAUGUUAGCAUGAAUUGCGUUCUUAAAAUGAAAAACCACAUACCAGAGACUUACGACAUAACUUAUAUAUUACUAAUAUUACUAAUAUAUACCAGACGUAUCGCACGUACAUAUAAAAUAUUUGUAAUGCUAAGUAUUUUUUAUCGAGAUUUUUUCUGAUAAACGUACGACAAUCCAAUUUGAAUCAUGGUCCUCCACAGGUUGCACUUCUGUCAAUAUAGAUAAUGCAAUUUCCCAUAGGAACUCCUUUUAUGGCGAAAACUGUGCCACCUUUACUAUGAAGUUUCGUAAAAUAUAGCGUGGAAUAGAAAGUUCACAUGAACUACUAUUUUUUUUGCAAAUGUCAAAACAUAGGGCUGUGCGGUAUAUUUUCAGCAUUUAUAUACCUCGAACUUCUAAGAGUUUAAACUUAUACUAAAAUUAUGUACUACAUCUCCCUUUACUUUGAGUCUUCCUGAGAACUAUGUCUUUGUCUAUUUUAAAAAACUGUUUGAACAUUGUGUUAAUAAAUCGGUUCCAUUGAAA